GGGCGGUGGAGGCACAGCAAAAUGCAAAUUUGAAGAAGCACCCUAAAAGGUGCCCCGGCU
rnacentral:tRNA from 1 species